UAAGCGCGAGUCAUCAGCUCGUGUUGAAUAAGUCUCUGCCCUUUGUACACACCGCCCGUCGCUACUACCGACUGGAUGUUGCUUCGAAAUGUUAGGACUUGCGGCGUCUUGACGCUGCGGGGAAUAGUUUUUAGAUGUAAUUUCUGGAGGAAGUAAAAGUCGUAACAAGGUUUCCGUAGGUGAACCUGCGGAAGGAUCAUCAAUGAAUUGUUCAACUUGUAGAGUUGAUUGUUAGUGUUGUUGUAGUGUAGUGUUGAAGUGAAGUGAAGUGGAUGGUAAAGUGUCGUUUGUUAUUAUCAUUAAACAUUAAGUGAUUUUUAAUCACUCUAAUUAUAAUGACUAUAAUUAGCGAAUAUCAAAUAACCACGUUUGACUGACUUGUAUAUUUACACACAUAUUGUGUGGUGCACCGGUUAUUGUAUUAAAUGUGAUUGUUUAUUUAAAAUGUUUAAGUUACAAUUUACAAUUAAUUACAAUAGCCGGGCUGGCGCUUAUGCGCUAGAUGUCCUGGUGCAAGUGGUAUCAGAUUUCUUAAUUACAUACUCUACUUUGUUGGAGUGUUGGAGUGUUGAAUGAAUGUGUUGAAUGUUGAUGGAUGUUGAUGUUAGAGUUUUGGUAGUUAAGUUUUUGAGGUGCCGUGCGCUUGGAAGUAUUGUAUUUAUAAAUAAAAAUUUGACAACCGUUAGCGGUGGAUCACUCGGUUCGUGUAUCGAUGAAGAACGCGGCCAACUGCGAUAAGUAGUGCGAUUCGCAGCGCCUAGUGAGUCAUUGAAAUUUUGAAUGCAAAUUGCAUGCUGGAUCUAAACCCAGCAUAUGUCUGGUUGAGUGUCUGUACUAAAACUACACAAUGUGAUCAAAGUAUGUUGUUGAUGGAGAUGUGUAUGUUGUGACGUAGUACUUUGCGCCGCGCACGCAGUGUUCGGCAGUUGUGUUGGAUGUGAUCAUGUAUAUUAUGUAUAUUGUAUAUAUGAGAGUGUUCAGUGGGAUUGGUGGUGUGAUUUGACGGUUACUCCACUUAAAUGUAUCAGUAGUACCGUGGUUUAUAACUAUAACUAUAACGUUAUAAUCAAUCAAAUCAUUCAUUUCAAGUUUGUGUGGUGUGGUGUAUUUAGUUGAGUCUGAUUAAUAAUCAAUUUUUAUGAUUUAUGUUAUGUGGUCUGGGGAUAGUGCUCAUGGAGGGGUGAAAUUUAAAGAUUGAUAUUGUUUCAGUGAAAGUGUUUAUGUGGUGUGGUGAGUGUAGUGUAUAGUAAAGAUGUGAUGUUGGUGGAAAUGUAAUGUUGAUUGACUAUAGUAAUAUAGUAAUAUAGUAAUAUAGUAAGCCAUUGGACUGUUGAGGGUUACUUCAUAUCUUAAUCAUGGUGAUGGUGAUGAUGAAAGUGAUGGUGACGAACACGGCUUUUGUAGUUUGGAGAUUGGAGUUUGUAGUGUAGUUGAAUAGUUGAAUGAUGUGGGAUGUGAAGCGUGUUUAAAGUAUUGAAGUAGAGGGAAUGUAGAUAUGAUAUCACGAGUAACCAAAAAUAAAAUACACGUUAAUAGAUAAUAGAUAAUAGAUAAUAAUAGAUAUUAUUAUAUUAUUUAUUAAUGAUGUAAACUACUAAUCUUGUGACCUCAACUCAGGCAAGACUACCUGCUGAACUUAAGCAUAUCAGUAAGCAGAGGAAAAGAAAACAACUGUGAUUCCCUUAGUAACUGCGAGUGAAGCGGGAAAAGCCCAUCGUUUAAUCUUCCUGGACCAUGGACAGGACGAAAUGUAACGG
rnacentral:rRNA from 1 species